UGUCUUGACCACUAAUUGAGAAAAUGCCUU
rnacentral:piRNA from 1 species